GUGACAGAACCACUGGUUCUUCAACAUGGCAAAUGUUGCUCAAAACUUACUCUUGGACACAAAACAGGGAGAAGAAUCACGAAAGAGGAAAGAUGCUCAUCACCAGGCAGCAGCCCCAGCAGUGCAAC
rnacentral:lncRNA from 1 species